rnacentral:lncRNA from 1 species
AUGGUUGGUUGACAAAAAUAGUCCAUCAACAUGGACUUAUGAUGAUUUUGAAUCAUUGAGUGUUGAAGUGUUACACCACUUCUAGAAGCGGAAAUUAGGCAAGGACUUCACCUUUGUGUCCCUAUCCAAAUGGUUCACUAAGUUUAUUGUAAACUAUAUAGUGAGCAAUAACCACACACUCUCCAAAUCGUUUGAUGUGUAUAACACAAUUGAAAUAAGUUUCAAGAGAGAUAGUGGGAGUUUAAGGACCAUGACUAUUGUAGUCAAAGGAGAAGUCAAAUGAAGAAGAUAAAAUUAACUCCAAGGGAACAAACUUU